rnacentral:rRNA from 1 species
CCUACGGGUGGCAGCAGUGGGGAAUAUUGGGCAAUGGGCGCAAGCCUGACCCAGCAACGCCGCGUGAGGGAAGAAGGCUUUCGGUUUGUAAACUUCUAUCGUCAGGGAAGAGUAGAAGACGGUACCUGAAGAAUAAGCCACGGCUAACUACGUGCCCGCAGCCGCGGUAAUACGUAGGUGGCAAGCUUUGUCCGGAUUUACUGGGUGUAAAGGGCGUGUAGCCGGGUUGACAAGUCAGAUGUGAAAGCCUGGGGCUUAACCGCAGAACUGCAUUUGAAACUGUGGAUCUUGAGUACUGGAGAGGCAGAUGGAAUUCCUAGUGUAGCGGUGAAAUGCGUAGAUAUUAGGAGGAACACCAGUGGCGAAGGCGGUCUGCUGGACUGAAACUGACGGUGAGGCGCGAAAGCGUGGGGAGCAAACAGGAUUAGAUACCCGAGUAGUC